rnacentral:rRNA from 1 species
AUUGAACGCUGGCGGCAUGCCUUACACAUGCAAGUCGAACGGCAGCACGGGUGCUUGCACCUGGUGGCGAGUGGCGAACGGGUGAGUAAUACAUCGGAACAUGUCCUGUAGUGGGGGAUAGCCCGGCGAAAGCCGGAUUAAUACCGCAUACGAUCUACGGAUGAAAUCGGGGGACCUUCGGGCCUCGCGCUAUAGGGUUGGCCGAUAGCUGAUUAGCUAGUUGGUGGGGUAAAGGCCUACCAAGGCGACGAUCAGUAGCUGGUCUGAGAGGACGACCAGCCACACUGGGACUGAGACACGGCCCAGACUCCUACGGGAGGCAGCAGUGGGGAAUUUUGGACAAUGGGCGAAAGCCUGAUCCAGCAAUGCCGCGUGUGUGAAGAAGGCCUUCGGGUUGUAAAGCACUUUUGUCCGGAAAGAAAUCCUUGGCUCUAAUACAGUCGGGGGAUGACGGUACCGGAAGAAUAAGCACCGGCUAACUACGUG